AUAACGGUCCUAAGGUAGCGAAAUUCCUUGUCAGGUAAGUUCUGACCCGCACGAAUGGCGUAAUGAUUUGGGCACUGUCUCAACAGCCCGCCCGGCGAAAUUGUAGUACUGGUGAAGAUGCCAGUUACCCGCAACUAGACGGAAAGACCCCAUGGAGCUUUACUGUAGCCUAAUACUGAAGAUCGGUAAUGCAUGUACAGGAUAGGUGGGAGCCAGCGAAACCCGGGCGUCAGCUCGGAUGGAGGCAACCUUGGAAUACCACCCUUGUAUUGCUGGUUUUCUAACCUGCGGCCAUGAAUCUGGUCGGGGGACACUGUUAGGUGGGCAGUUUGACUGGGGCGGUCGCCUCCAAAAGCGUAACGGAGGCGCUCAAAGGUUGGCUCAGCACGGACGGAAAUCGUGCAUAGAGUGCAAACGCAUAAGCCAACUUGACUGCGAGACCGACGGGUCGAGCAGGUACGAAAGUAGGAGUUAGUGAUCCGGUGGUAUGUGAGUGGAAAUGCCAUCGCUCAACGGAUAAAAGCUACCCUGGGGAUAACAGGCUGAUCUCCCCCAAGCGUCCACAGCGACGGGGAGGUUUGGCACCUCGAUGUCGGCUCGUCACAUCCUGGGGCUGUAUUCGGUCCCAAGGGUUCGGCUGUUCGCCGAUUAAAGUGGCACGCGAGCUGGGUUCAGAACGUCGUGAGACAGUUCGGUCCCUAUCUGUUGCGGGCGCAGGAGAUUUGAAGGGAGCUGUCCUUAGUACGAGAGGACCGGGAUGGACAGACCUCUGGUGCACCAGUUGUCGUGCCAACGGCACAGCUGGGUAGCUACGUCUGGACGAGAUAAACGCUGAAAGCAUCUAAGUGUGAAACUCCCCCUAAGAUAAGAUCUCCCAUCCAUUAGGAGUAAGGGACGACAGAGACUAUGUCGUUGAUAGGUCGGAAGUGUAAGUGCAGUAAUGCAUUGAGCUGACCGAUACUAAUAACCCGAGGGCUUGACCU
rnacentral:rRNA from 1 species